GAUGAAGAACGUAGCGAAAUGCGAUAAGUAAUGUGAAUUGCAGAAUUCAGUGAAUCAUCGAAUCUUUGAACGUACAUUGCGCCCCCUGGUAUUCCGGGGGGCAUGCCUGUCCGAGCGUCAUUACAACCCUCAAGCUCAGCUUGGUGUUGGGCCCCGCCGCCCCGGCGGGCCCUAAAGUCAGUGGCGGUGCCGUCCGGCUCCGAGCGUAGUAAUUCUUCUCGCUCUGGAGGUCCGGUCGUGUGCUCGCCAGCAACCCCCAAUUUUUUUCAGGUUGACCUCGGAUCAGGUAGGGAUACCCGCUGAACUUAAGCAUAUCAAUAAGCGGAGGA
rnacentral:misc_RNA from 1 species